rnacentral:rRNA from 1 species
ACGCUGGCGGCAGGCUUAACACAUGCAAGUCGAACGGUAACAGGGAUUAGCUUGCUAAUCUGCUGACGAGUGGCGGACGGGUGAGUAAUGCUUGGGAAUCUGGCUUAUGGAGGGGGAUAACUACGGGAAACUGUAGCUAAUACCGCGUAAAAUCUUCGGAUUAAAGGGUGGGACUUUCGAGCCACCUGCCAUAAGAUGAGCCCAAGUGGGAUUAGGUAGUUGGUUAGGUAAAGGCUGACCAAGCCGACGAUCUCUAGCUGGUCUGAGAGGAUGACCAGCCACACUGGAACUGAGACACGGUCCAGACUCCUACGGGAGGCAGCAGUGGGGAAUAUUGCACAUUGGGGGGAACCCUGAUGCAGCCAUGCCGCGUGAAUGAAGAAGGCCUUCGGGUUGUAAAGUUCUUUCGGUGACGAGGAAGGUUGAUAGGUUAAUAGCCUAUCAAAUUGACGUUAAUCACAGAAGAAGCACCGGCUAACUCCGUGCCAGCAGCCGCGGUAAUACGGGGGGUGCGAGCGUUAAUCGGAAUAACUGGGCGUAAAGGGCACGCAGGCGGUGACUUAAGUGAGAUGUGAAAGCCCCGAGCUUAACUUGGGAAUUGCAUUUCAUACUGGGUCGCUAGAGUACUUUAGGGAGGGGUAGAAUUCCACGUGUAGCGGUGAAAUGCGUAGAGAUGUGGAGGAAUACCGAAGGCGAAGGCAGCCCCUUGGGAAUGUACUGACGCUCAUGUGCGAAAGCGUGGGGAGCAAACAGGAUUAGAUACCCUGGUAGUCCACGCUGUAAACGAUGUCGAUUUGGGGAUUGGGCUUUGAGCUUGGUGCCCGUAGCUAACGUGAUAAAUCGACCGCCUGGGGAGUACGGCCGCAAGGUUAAAACUCAAAUGAAUUGACGGGGGCCCGCACAAGCGG